UCGAUUUGAUCAUGUUCCCUUGCUGGUUUUGACUGGGUGACUGUAUCUGGCCUUCAUAGAUAUAUUGUGCAAGUUCCCCUAAAAAAAGAUAUGCAAGUUGUUGAAUUAUUAUUAUUACUAUCUUAGCUUUUAAACUGCUUGCAGGAUAUAUAGGUAAUAUAUAAGUUUGUUUGGCUAAUAAGCCUCAUGGAGUUAAAAUCAAGCUGGAAGCUAAUAUGGAGGACACUACCUUAAUUUAGUUGUCAAUGUAGUAGUGGUCCGGGUUAUGUUGUCCAAAUGCCUACAGUAUGCAACAUGCAUGCAGUUUAAGCCAUGAAAGUAUUUCGUACUUUUCAUUUUUGUGUUGUAAUAUACAUCUUGCAGAUACACGAUUUUUAACUUGAAGAGUAUGGUCGUUGGACUUUAGUUCAGUACAGAUUUGUUUCAUGAUAAGCUUACCAACUCCAUUUCCAAAUACAUGACGUAGAAAGCAUGUAGUCAAACUUUACCUUUGACCAUUAGUCAAAUCAAAAUAUUUAGUUUUUCUUUGAUAGAAAUUGUAGCAUUAGGUUUGUAAUUCAGAACAGUUUCACUGUAUAUACUUUUUACUUAUAUAUGUUGUGCACUGAGGACUCAAAAUGCAAAACAUUAUCUAUCUUAGAAUGGUGGGAGUAUAUUUGAUUAUGAUUAGUGAUAAGUUGAUAACUGUCGAUAGUCAAUCGGGAAAUUUUAUUGUGAUUAUCUUAAUUUGAUGACCAUAUUAUGAGUCGUGAUUAGCCAAUCAAACCUGCAAGCUCACUUAAUCCUACCUAACAGAUAAAGAACACUGUUUUAUUAAUAGAAUAGUGUGCUUCCCUUUACUGUGAUAUCUUACUAGUCCUAGUCAAUUUGAACAAGUUUAUAACAUGCUCAUUUUAACUUUGGCCAUCCUACACAUCUCUGUGUGCACCUGAUUAGCCUUUGUAAUAUGAAGCUAUGCACUUUGGUUUUCCCUUCGUGACAUGUCUGCUACAAAAACCCGUGUGUAUCCUAAUAUGUUGUUGUCUUCGUG
rnacentral:lncRNA from 1 species